GGUUAAGUGAAUAAGGGCGCACGGUGGAUGCCUUGGCACUAGGAGCCGAUGAAGGACGGGACUAACACCGAUAUGCUUCGGGGAGCUGUAAGUAAGCUUUGAUCCGGAGAUUUCCGAAUGGGGAAACCCAGCAUCUUUUAUAGGAUGUUACUUUUCAGUGAAUACAUAGCUGAUUAGAGGUAGACGCAGAGAACUGAAACAUCUAAGUACCUGCAGGAAGAGAAAGAAAAUUCGAUUCCCUGAGUAGCGGCGAGCGAAACGGGAAAAGCCCAAACCAAGAGGCUUGCCUCUUGGGGUUGUAGGACUCCGAUAUGGUAGUUCAGUGAGAUAGUCGAAGGACCUGGAAAGGUCUGCUAGAAAGGGUAAAAGCCCCGUAGACAAAAUUUGACUGGCACCUAGGAGGAUCCUGAGUACGGCGGAACACGAGGAAUUCCGUCGGAAUCCGGGAGGACCAUCUCCCAAGGCUAAAUACUCCCUAGUGACCGAUAGUGAACCAGUACCGUGAGGGAAAGGUGAAAAGCACCCCGGAAGGGGAGUGAAAUAGAUCCUGAAACCGUGUGCCUACAACAAGUUAGAGCCCGUUAAUGGGUGAUAGCGUGCCUUUUGUAGAAUGAACCGGCGAGUUACGAUUACUUGCGAGGUUAAGUUGAAAAGACGGAGCCGCAGCGAAAGCGAGUCUGAAUAGGGCGAAUGAGUAAGUGGUCGUAGACCCGAAACCAUGUGAUCUACCCAUGUCCAGGUUGAAGGUGCGGUAAAACGCACUGGAGGACCGAACCCACGUACGUUGAAAAGUGCGGGGAUGAGGUGUGGGUAGCGGAGAAAUUCCAAACGAACUUGGAGAUAGCUGGUUCUCUCCGAAAUAGCUUUAGGGCUAGCCUCAGAGUAAGAAUGAUGGAGGUAGAGCACUGUUUGGACUAGGGGCCCAUCUCGGGUUACCGAAUUCAGAUAAACUCCGAAUGCCAUUCAUUCAUCUCUGGGAGUCAGACUGUGAGUGAUAAGAUCCAUAGUCGAAAGGGAAACAGCCCAGACCACCAGCUAAGGUCCCCAAAUAACUAUUAAGUGGAAAAGGAUGUGGGGUUGCACAGACAACUAGGAUGUUGGCUUAGAAGCAGCCACCAUUUAAAGAGUGCGUAAUAGCUCACUAGUCGAGUGACCCUGCGCCGAAAAUGUACCGGGGCUAAAUAGUUUACCGAAGCUGUGGAGCACACC
rnacentral:rRNA from 1 species